rnacentral:rRNA from 1 species
UUUGAUCAUGGCUCAGAACGAACGCUGGCGGCGUGCCUAACACAUGCAAGUCGACGGGAAAGCCCGCAAGGGUGAGUACAGUGGCGCACGGGUGCGUAACACGUGGGUAAUCGCCCAGAAGCCCGGAAUAACUCCCCGAAAGGGGUGCUAAUGCCGGAUGAGACCACGGGGCUUCGGUUCCUGCGGGAAAAGGUGGCCUCUGCAUGCAAGCUAUCACUUCUGGAUGAGCCGCGGCCCAUCAGCUCGUUGGCGGGGUAACGGCCCACCAAGGCUACGACGGGUAGCUGGUUGAGAGGACGAUCAGCCACACUGGAACUGAGACACGGUCCAGACUCCUACGGGAGGCAGAGUGGGGAAUCUUGCGCAAUGGGCGAAAGCCUGACGCAGCAACGCCGCGUGUGUGAUGAGGUCUUCGGAUCGUAAAGCACUGUCGGGAGGGACGAAUAAGGGCCGGGUGAACAAUCCGUCUGAUGACGGUACCUCCAAAGGAAGCACCGGCUAACUCUGUGCCAGCAGCCGCGGUAAU